GUAGAGACUAGAGUCUCAUCUUGACAGUAAUCAUUGUCUUGGUGUGCUAGAGUUCUCUUAGAGAAAAGACUGGUUUUAUUCACCGACUGGCACUUUUCUAGGCCAGUCAGUCACACAGCCAGUCACAAGA